rnacentral:misc_RNA from 1 species
CCCAACUAUCCCUAUUAAUCAUUACGGUGAUCCUAGAAACCAACGAAAUAGAAUCAGUCCGUCCUAUUUCAUUAUUCCAUGCUAAUGUAUUCAGACGAUAGUCUGCUUUAAACACUCUAAUUUUUUCAAAGUAACAGUCCAAAUUCCCCGCAACACCAAAUUAAUGGCAUUACGGUUCAUAAGGAAGGAGGAAUCAGUGAGAUCAGUACAUACCGGAGGCAUGACCAACCUACUAACCCCGAAAUUCAACUACGAGCUUUUUAACUGCAACAACUUUAAUAUACGCUAUUGGAGCUGGAAUUACCGCGGCUGCGGGCACCAGACUUGCCCUCCAAGGCACCAGACUUGCCCUCCAAGGCACCAGACUUGCCCUCCAA